GCGGGCGUGGCGGAACGGCAGACGCGCAGGACUUAGGAUCCUGUGGGAGAAGUCCCGUGAGAGUUCAAGUCUCUCCGCCCGCACCA
rnacentral:tRNA from 1 species